rnacentral:lncRNA from 1 species
UAAGUCUAAAAAUUUUUAUUUUUAUUUUUUGACUAGAAAAUGGCAUCAUAGUAAAUUUCACAAGCCUCUGUGUAGAAGCCCAAAUUUGCUGGCCUAGUAAAAAUAAUAACCCAAUCACAAAUGGGCCCAAAAAUUAAAAACCUAGCCCAAACAACAUUAACAUUUUCAGCAGAAAUGAGUAAAAGAAACCCUAGGAGCUGCAUGCCUCGGGUGGCCUCCUCGUCUGCCACCCCCAGCCACCAGGCACCUUCAGCGCACGCCUCUGACACUGCCGCCGUUGGCCCUCCACGCGUGUCAGACCACCUGCAGAGAGAAAUGAAGGCAAAGAAAUAAAGAGCAAUCAAUAAUAAUAAAAACAGUUUGUAAUGGCCUAUAAAAAACAAGAAGAGCCAUUUUUAGAGCUUCUUGGAUUUUCUUUGUAAAAAAACUCACAUCAGAAAUCAAAAGCUGAAUAGAAAUUUUAAAGGGUUAAAUCCUUGUUAUUUACUCUUCGUUUUUUCUUUUUUUCUUUUUAUUUAUUUGUUUGUUUUAUUCUUUUUUUUCCUUUCUUUUGCAAAUCUAUUUUAAAUAACUAUAAAAUCAAAAGCAAAAAAAUAAGGGGAAGAGAAACUCACCGGAGUUGGCCGUGACCGUGCCGCCGGGGGGUCUCUCCUUCAUCGUCGGCCGUCGAUCUUUGUGGCUGUGGCGGUGGCGCUCCAUGUGUUAAGAAACCCAAGAGUUGGGUGUUUGAAAGAAAGGAGUUUAAAGAAAAGGAGAGACUCUUUCAGUUUUCG